rnacentral:rRNA from 1 species
UUUAAUUGAAGAGUUUGAUCAUGGCUCAGAUUGAACGCUGGCGGUAGGCUUAACACAUGCAAGUCGAGCGGAAACGAAGAA